GCCUGCCUAGCUCAAUUGGUCAGAGCGUCAGACUUUUAAAACACUUGAAGUCAUCUGAAAGUUGCGGGUUCGAGUCCCGCGGUGGGCU